UACGAACGCUGGCGGCGUGCCUAAUACAUGCAAGUUGAGCGCUGAAGGUUGGUACUUGUACCAACUGGAUGAGCAGCGAACGGGUGAGUAACGCGUGGGGAAUCUGCCUUUGAGCGGGGGACAACAUUUGGAAACGAAUGCUAAUACCGCAUAAAAACUUUAAACACAAGUUUUAAGUUUGAAAGAUGCAAUUGCAUCACUCAAAGAUGAUCCCGCGUUGUAUUAGCUAGUUGGUGAGGUAAAGGCUCACCAAGGCGAUGAUACAUAGCCGACCUGAGAGGGUGAUCGGCCACAUUGGGACUGAGACACGGCCCAAACGCCUACGGGAGGCAGCAGUAGGGAAUCUUCGGCAAUGGACGAAAGUCUGACCGAGCAACGCCGCGGGAGUGAAGAAGGGUGUCGGAUCGUAAAACUCGGUUGGUAGAGAAGAACGUUGGUGAGAGUGGAAAGCUCAUCAAGUGACGGUAACUACCCAGAAAGGGACGGCUAACUACGUG
rnacentral:rRNA from 1 species